rnacentral:rRNA from 1 species
GGCGAAGCUGAGAACUUAAGCGCCAGUAAACGGCGGUGGUAACUAUAACCAUCCUAAGGUAGCGAAAUUCCUUGUCGGGUAAGUUCCGACCUGCACGAAUGGCGUAACGACUUCUCGACUGUCUCAACCAUAGGCCCGGUGAAAUUGCAUUACGAGUAAAGAUGCUCGUUUCGCGCAGCAGGACGGAAAGACCCCGGGACCUUUACUAUAGCUUGAUAUUGGUGUUCGGUUCGGCUUGUGUAGGAUAGGUGGGAGACUUUGAAGCCGUGACGCCAGUCAUGGUGGAGUCGUCGUUGAAAUACCACUCUGGUCGUGCUGGAUGUCUAACCUGGGUCCGUGAUCCGGAUCAGGGACAGUGUCUGGUGGGUAGUUUAACUGGGGCGGUUGCCUCCUAAAGGGUAACGGAGGCGCCCAAAGGUUCCCUCAGCCUGGUUGGCAAUCAGGUGUUGAGUGUAAGUGCACAAGGGAGCUUGACUGUGAGACUGACGGGUCGAGCAGGUACGAAAGUAGGGACUAGUGAUCCGGCGGUGGCUUGUGGAAGCGCCGUCGCUCAACGGAUAAAAGGUACCCCGGGGAUAACAGGCUGAUCUUCCCCAAGAGUCCAUAUCGACGGGAUGGUUUGGCACCUCGAUGUCGGCUCGUCGCAUCCUGGGGCUGGAGUAGGUCCCAAGGGUUGGGCUGUUCGCCCAUUAAAGCGGUACGCGAGCUGGGUUUAGAACGUCGUGAGACAGUUCGGUCCCUAUCCGCUGUGCGCGUAGGAGUGUUGAGAAGGGCUGUCCCUAGUACGAGAGGACCGGGACGGACGAACCUCUGGUGUGCCAGUUGUCCUGCCAAGGGCAUGGCUGGUUGGCUACGUUCGGGAGGGAUAACCGCUGAAAGCAUCUAAGCGGGAAGCCUGCUUCGAGAUGAGCACUCCCACCUCCUUGAGAGGGUAAGGCUCCCAGUAGACGACUGGGUUGAUAGGCCGGAUAUGGAAGCCCUGUGAGGGGUGGAGUUGACCGGUACUAAUAGGCCGAGGGCUUGUCCUC